UUUGCCCUGGCCCUUGAUGAUACUGUUAGCGAUCCGUGCCAGUGCUUUGCCAAGCUCCUCGGUCUGGUCCCUGAGCAUGUGUUUGUUGCUCCCAUCAAGGACGAAGGAAAUAGAGCUGAAUCAGACAGACAAACAUCUGUCCCUGAACUCUACACACCAGCUGACAAAGCCUACACAGGAGGAAGGAAGAUGGCCCAUGUGGAAUGAUGACAGCUUCCUGCAGAGUCACAUACAGGUUGAUACAGUUCAGUUGUUGGUGGUAACAUGCAACACAGCACUGCUUGCUUCAGUAAAUCUUAAAAUCUACCAAUUUGAUGACCCGGUUGGAGGCAUUUCCUUUUGAUGUUCUGUAUUAUGGCAUACUUCAUGUUUUGUGGGGACCCCAGGAUGAGUAGCUGCUGCUUUCACAACAGCCAAAGGGGAUCCUAAUAAAAUACCACAUUGCAAAAUAACCUUGUGUGGAGUGAGGAGCCAUAAGUAUGUUGGGUCGUCAUAGUUGUGGCUUGAGAUAUGCUAAAUAGGCAGUCUUAAAUUAACCAACCAAAACGAGGAAGAAGAGAACAGAGAGAACUCCUUCCGAUUCUAGAACACUGGGAAUUAAAAUAACAUUCUGUCUAAUUCAGCAUUCUAUUAUACCACCAGCCCAUGUGACAUCUACAGACAUGGGCUAUAUUUAAUGUUAUAAUAGGAAAAACUAUAGAGAAGAGCAGUUGAGAGGAGAGGAUAGGAGGGAAGAGUGGGGAGGCGGGGAGAGAGGAGGGAAGAGAAGAGAGGAGAGAUAGGAGAGGAAAGGAGGGAGGAGAAGAGAGGAGAAGAGAAGUGUCCCUCCUGUUGCUGCAAACACAGAUAUAGGAUCUUCAUUUGAUCCCCCUGGUACAGGAGAACUUCCCUGCAAAGCAGGAAAAGUACAACUUGGAGUG